rnacentral:snRNA from 1 species
AAGACUAUACUUUCAGGGAUCAUUUCUAUAGUUCGUUACUAGAGAAGUUUCUCUGAUCAUGUAAAGCA